GAUGAACGCUGGCGGCGUGCCUAAUACAUGCAAGUCGAGCGAACGGACGAGAAGCUUGCUUCUCUGAUGUUAGCGGCGGACGGGUGAGUAACACGUGGAUAACCUACCUAUAAGACUGGGAUAACUUCGGGAAACCGGAGCUAAUACCGGAUAAUAUUUUGAACCGCAUGGUUCAAAAGUGAAAGACGGUCUUGCUGUCACUUAUAGAUGGAUCCGCGCUGCAUUAGCUAGUUGGUAAGGUAACGGCUUACCAAGGCAACGAUGCAUAGCCGACCUGAGAGGGUGAUCGGCCACACUGGAACUGAGACACGGUCCAGACUCCUACGGGAGGCAGCAGUAGGGAAUCUUCCGCAAUGGGCGAAAGCCUGACGGAGCAACGCCGCGUGAGUGAUGAAGGUCUUCGGAUCGUAAAACUCUGUUAUUAGGGAAGAACAUAUGUGUAAGUAACUGUGCACAUCUUGACGGUACCUAAUCAGAAAGCCACGGCUAACUACGUGCCAGCAGCCGCGGUAAUACGUAGGUGGCAAGCGUUAUCCGGAAUUAUUGGGCGUAAAGCGCGCGUAGGCGGUUUUUUAAGUCUGAUGUGAAAGCCCACGGCUCAACCGUGGAGGGUCAUUGGAAACUGGAAAACUUGAGUGCAGAAGAGGAAAGUGGAAUUCCAUGUGUAGCGGUGAAAUGCGCAGAGAUAUGGAGGAACACCAGUGGCGAAGGCGACUUUCUGGUCUGUAACUGACGCUGAUGUGCGAAAGCGUGGGGAUCAAACAGGAUUAGAUACCCUGGUAGUCCACGCCGUAAACGAUGAGUGCUAAGUGUUAGGGGGUUUCCGCCCCUUAGUGCUGCAGCUAACGCAUUAAGCACUCCGCCUGGGGAGUACGACCGCAAGGUUGAAACUCAAAGGAAUUGACGGGGACCCGCACAAGCGGUGGAGCAUGUGGUUUAAUUCGAAGCAACGCGAAGAACCUUACCAAAUCUUGACAUCCUUUGACAACUCUAGAGAUAGAGCUUUCCCCUUCGGGGGACAAAGUGACAGGUGGUGCAUGGUUGUCGUCAGCUCGUGUCGUGAGAUGUUGGGUUAAGUCCCGCAACGAGCGCAACCCUUAAGCUUAGUUGCCAUCAUUAAGUUGGGCACUCUAAGUUGACUGCCGGUGACAAACCGGAGGAAGGUGGGGAUGACGUCAAAUCAUCAUGCCCCUUAUGAUUUGGGCUACACACGUGCUACAAUGGACAAUACAGAGGGCAGCGAAACCGCGAGGUCAAGCAAAUCCCAUAAAGUUGUUCUCAGUUCGGAUUGUAGUCUGCAACUCGACUACAUGAAGCUGGAAUCGCUAGUAAUCGUAGAUCAGCAUGCUACGGUGAAUACGUUCCCGGGUCU
rnacentral:rRNA from 1 species